rnacentral:lncRNA from 1 species
CGGAACUUGCCUGCCCACUGGCUGACAAGGGCCGGGAGCACAUGGGCUGUUUGUUCCUCCUCCCAACACCUUGGCUGGUACCGGUCCCUGGUUGCUAUGAGAGUAUACUUUGUCAGUAGGCACUCUGCCUUUCUCCUGAAAUGGGGCUGUUGGAAAGGGUCAGAGAAAAGAGAUGAAUUGUCACCAGUCAUCCUUCAGAUUUUACCAAAUAUAAAUGUGAUGAUGAAUUUUGUUUUAUCUAGGUAUUAAAUCAUCAUUCAGAUUCUUCACACGUGUUAAAGGGAGAAUUCUAAUCACUGUAUGUGUGCUUCGCACACAGGACCGGAGCACGGAAGAAACUGGGGGCACAAAGUAGAAAUCUACUGAACCCCUUUCACCAUUCAAAAAAAUAUGACUAAGGGUAAUACUUUUCUUACAAGGUGAAAACUCUGGGACAAGUUCUAAAUCAGAGGCAAAGCAGACACAAAUGGAGAAAUGAAUUUAUCAUCAUUCCAGAUGUAGCAGACGCAAAGUAAUAUCUCCUAGGAUGGCUGUGCAACUUAUUAUCUUAAUUUGGACCUGGGACUUGGAAGUAGAAUUGUGCUCAAGGCACCAUACUUAAAGGAUAAAAGCAAACCUUUCAUAGCAGCCCAGUCUGACACUUGGCAUGGGACCCUUCACAGUCACCUCCACCUGGAAAUGUGCUGGUUCUUGCGGCUCGUUUCGGUGACUCCAGGCCUCCUCGGGUUGACUGAUAGAGCUCAUUGCAUCAUGCUUCCACGGUGGCUUUUUUUCCUGCCUCAGAAUCUCCUGAAGGAAGUUCAACGCAAUUGCCUUCCUGGGAAAACGACACCGAACCAAGUGACUGUUCGACGGUCCCGGAAAGAAAUAUUUGUUUCAUUUUUCCAGUUUUCAUUUUACCCUGAAAACCUAGGCUUGAUGGUGUGAGCGAUAGCUCAUCCUUCCUUCUUUCUCCCUGGCUGGGUUGCAGGGAGUCAUUAGGUGCUCAUUAGACUAACACGAAGGCAGAAUCGCACCAGUUGUGGGACCCAUGAUUCACUUUUAAAUUCUAUCAGGUCUCUUUAGUUUGCUGCCUAAAUGGCAGUUUUUCUUGUAACAGGUAGCCCGAGACUUUGAGACAUUACACGUCAACAUUUAUGACUUAAAAAAGGCAAGGCUCUUUUCUUUCACCAGAUCGUUCCUGUUGGGAGCAGAUGGCCAACCUCUCAUCUGUAUUUCCUAUCAGCUGCUUUGGGAUAUGCUUUGUGCCAGUGGUCUUACUGAAUCCUUUGAACAGUAUCGUCAAGUAGACAUUUACUUCUGAUGUGGUUUUGGAGUGAUGGGGGUCUGGAGCUGAUGGCCAAGAAAGAAUUCUUGAGACGUCUUUGGUGCAAGAAGGUGCUUUUAUUAAAGCAUGGGUGAUGAGGGAAUGUGGGGCAAGCUGAGGGCAAAAUACAGGCUGGCAACCCCCCUCCCCUGUCCCCCGAUGGAAUAUGUGUGAUAUCCCUUGGACACUCCUGGCUACCCAAAAACAAAGGAAAGGGGUUUAAGUGCUUGCCAUGGUAAUGUGGGAAACCAAGGCAAAAGAAAAAUUCUCUUACUGCCUACAGCCCAUUGAUAAGUCCUUGAAACUGGCAGAGUAGCCUCCCUCUAGGAGCUCAGCUGCCUCAAUGAUGACACUUUGCUAGGGGCAAACAUUAUCCCAACCUUGAGGAUCCUGUAAAUCUACUUCCUUUGUCUCAACUGCCCCAGGAUAUAUGCUGGCAAUCAUACACCCAGCUUAAGGCCCCCUGAUAUACAUCUGAAGGGUCUCAUGAUUGGGGUUUUAUUAAAAAGUAUUAAGUGGCAUUUCCCUAGCAAUACCUAGCCUCUCAAGGCCCUGGAAACCUGGCUUCCAAAAUACCUUAGAGAUUUACUCUAUCCCUGACCCCCUCCCAACCUGAGGGUA